rnacentral:misc_RNA from 1 species
UUGCCGGACGAACACGCGCCAGGGGCUGCGCUGUUCAAAGCAAUCGGCGGCAAGCCGAUCGCGCGCGGCACAAGGCUCCUCGUGUAGGGGCUGUAAGCUCAGUUGGUUAGAGCGCGCGCUGGAUAGGCGUGAGGUCGGAAGUUCAAGUCUUCNCAGGCCCACCACUUUCAUCGAGCGAGAGCAUUCGUCCUUUGGUUACGGGGCCAUAGCUCAGCUGGGAGAGCGCGUGCUUUGCAAGCAUGAGGUCGUCGGUUCGAUCCCGUNUGGCUCCACCACCCUGCGCACUCAAGUGUGCCACGGCGAGGCAAGNCAGGUUAUGAGCACUCGGAGCGUCCGUGAGACAAGAUUUGGCCCGGUCGCCGUUACGACGGCAGCGCGGCCCUGUUGUUCUGACAUCGUGAAGAGAAGGUUUGUUCGAGCGCCGCCCCUUGGGGCAGCGCGUCUCACACCGAUUCGUGGACUUAACCGCCUGCGAUCGAGCAAAUCUCGAAGAAACUGGUCUUUUGUCUCUCCUGUCGAAUUCGUCUGGCUCUCCUACGGCCAUGACGGGCAUCGACAAUGAGAGUGAUCAAGUGAAAUAAGGGCGUUCGGUGGAUGCCUUGGCGCUGAGAGGCGAUGAAGGACGUGGUACGCUGCGAUAAGUCACGGGGAGCUGCGAACAAGCUUUGAUCCGUGAAUUUCCGAAUGGGGAAACCCGGA